UACAUGGGGUGCAAACGUUGCUCGGAAUCAUUGGGCGUAAAGCGCGCGUAGGCGGUUACUUAAGUUGGAUGUGAAAGCCCUCGGCUUAACUGAGGAAGUGCAUCCAAAACUGAGUAGCUAGAGUACGAAAGAGGGUCGCGGAAUUCCCGGUGUAGAGGUGAAAUUCGUAGAUAUCGGGAGGAACACCAAAGGCGAAGGCAGUGUCCUGGGUGGUACCUGACGCUCAGGUGCGAAAGCUAGGGGAGCGAACGGG
rnacentral:rRNA from 1 species